rnacentral:rRNA from 1 species
AUUGAACGCUGGCGGCAUGCCUUACACAUGCAAGUCGAACGGCAGCACGGGCUUCGGCCUCGUGGCGAGUGGCGAACGGGCGAGUAAUAUAUCGGAACGUACCCAGAAGUGGGGGAUAACGUAACGACAGUUACGCUAAUACCGCAUACGAUCUAAGGACGAACGCAGGGGAGCGCAAGACCUUGUGCCCUUGCACCGUCGGAUAUCGGAUUAGCUAGUUGGUGAGGUAAAGGCUCACCAAGGCGACGAUCAGUAGCUGGUCUGAGAGGACGACCAGCCACACUGGAACUGAGACACGGUCCAGACUCCUACGGGAGGCAGCAGUGGGGAAUUUUGGACAAUGGGCGCAAGCCUGAUCCAGCAAUGCCACGUGAGUGAAGAAGGCCUUCGGGUUGUAAAGCUCUUUUGUCAGGGAAGAAACGGUAGAGGCUAAUAUCCUGUGCUAAUGACGGUACCUGAAGAAUAAGCACCGGCUAACUACGUG